AUUGAACGCUGGCGGCAGGCUUAACACAUGCAAGUCGAGCGAGCGGCGGACGGGUGAGUAAUGUCUGGGAAACUGCCUGAUGGAGGGGGAUAACUACUGGAAACGGUAGCUAAUACCGCAUACCAUCGAAUGUGCACAGAUGGGAUUAGCUAGUAGGUGGGGUAAUGGCUCACCUCGGCGACUAUCCCUAGCUGGUCUGAGACGAUGACAAGCCACACUGGAAUUGAGAAAAGGUCCUGACUCAGACGGGAUGACGAAGUGGUGAAUAUGGCAGAAUGGGCGCAAGCCUGAGGCAGCAAUGCGGGGUGAGUGAAGCAGGCCUUGGGGUUGUAAAGCACUUGUAGCGAGGCGGAGUUACUCGAAGAAGAAGCACCGGCUAACUCCGUGCCAGCAGCCGCGGUAAUUC
rnacentral:rRNA from 1 species